UGGGGAAUAUUGCACAAUGGGGGAAACGUCUGAUGCAGCGACGCCGCGUGAAGGAAGAAGUAUUUCGGUAUGUAAACUUCUAUCAGCAGGGAAGAAAAUGACGGUACCUGACUAAGAAGCCCCGGCUAACUACGUGCC
rnacentral:rRNA from 1 species